AUUGAACGCUGGCGGCAGGCCUAACACAUGCAAGUCGAGCGAGCGGCGGACGGGUGAGUAAUGUCUGGGAAACCGCCUGAUGGAGGGGGCUAACUACUGGAAACGGUAGCUAAUACCGCAUCCCAUCAGAUGUGCCCAGAUAGGAUUAGCUGGUAGGUGGGGAAACGGCUCACCUAGGCGACGAUCCCUAUCUGGUCUGAUAGGAUGACCAGCAACACAGGAACUAGUACACGGUCCAGACUCCUACGGGAGGCAGCGGUGGGGAAUAUUGCACAAUGGGCGCAAGCCUGAUGCAGCCAUGCCGCGUGUGUGAGGAAGGCCUUCGGGUUGUAAAGCACUUUCAGCGGGGAGGCGUUACCCGCAGAAGAAGCACCGGCUAACUCCGUGCCAGCAGCCGCGGUAAUAC
rnacentral:rRNA from 1 species